GUCUGUAUGAAGUUAUAUGGAGUCUAACCUGCCCAUUGAAUAAUUUAAAAGGCCGCGGUAUAUUAACUGUGCAAAGGUAGCAUAAUCAUUAGUUUUUUAAUUGAAGGCUUGUAUGAACGGUUGGACAAAGGAUAAUCUGUUUUUAUUUUUGUUUUUGAAUUUAACUUUUAAGUGAAAAGGCUUAAAUAAAUUUAAGGGACGAUAAGACCCUAUAAAUCUUUACAUUAAGUUUUUUUUUCUAUUAAUUUAUUAUGUAAAUAAAAGAUAAAAUAGUAAAUGUUAUGUUGGGGUGACAAGAAUAUAAAUGUUAACUGUUCUAAAUCAAAAUCAAAGUUGUUUGAAAAUAAUAGAUCCUUUUUAGAGAUUAAAAGUUUAAGUUACUUUAGGGAUAACAGCGUUAUUUUUCUUGAGAGUUCUAAUCGAAAGAAAAGUUUGCGACCUCGAUGUUGAAUUAAAAUUUCUUUAUGGUGCAGUAGUUAUAAAAGAGAGUCUGUUCGACUUUUAAAUUUUU
rnacentral:rRNA from 1 species